rnacentral:rRNA from 1 species
UACGAAGGGGGCUAGCGUUGCUCGGAAUCACUGGGCGUAAAGGGUGCGUAGGCGGGUCUUUAAGUCAGGGGUGAAAUCCUGGAGCUCAACUCCAGAACUGCCUUUGAUACUGAGGAUCUUGAGUUCGGGAGAGGUGAGUGGAACUGCGAGUGUAGAGGUGAAAUUCGUAGAUAUUCGCAAGAACACCAGUGGCGAAGGCGGCUCACUGGGCCGAUACUGACGCUGAGGAGCGAAAGCGUGGGGAGCAAACAGG